rnacentral:tRNA from 1 species
GACCCCAUCGUCUAGUCGGCCCAGGACUCAGCCCUUUCAAGGCUGCAACACGGGUUCGAAUCCCGUUGGGGUCGCCA